ACCGGGACCCUCACAGACAGUGUCCAUCUUGUGGAAGGCCCCUAAAAUGAGUCAUAAAACACUUUUUAUACCAUGUGGACAUUACAGUGGGUGUGGUUUAGUCUCACAUUUCUAAUGUUACUGGCUCUCACCAACAGGGGAAGAUCUCCCUGUAUCUGACACUUGCACAUUCGUGUUGAAAGUGAAUCUUAACUCUUAAACUUUAAACCAGGAGGAAAAUGACACCUUCACCCUGACCCCACUGCCAGAGGGUAAACAUGCUGUGGGGGGGCAGAUGGGAUGACACAAAGAAAAUCCAGAUGAGACAGAAACAUACAAAGCAGGUAUGUGGCCAAAGGUUCUAGUCAAGUUGCUGAGAUUGAUUUAAGUUAAAAUAAUAAUAAUAAUGUUACAGCUUCCAUACAGGUGGAAAAACAGCUGAUUCUAUACUUUUUAAAGGGUUUCUUGAGUUUAUCUGGAGUUUGUCAAAAUACAGAAAGCAGCAAAUUUGUCAUAACUGAGUGACUUUGUUGUUUGGAGACGACAGCAGACAAAGUCAUCACCAUUAAUUUCAUUUCUGGCCGAUGUGACAUUUUGUCUUGUGGUUCAGUAACACAUGGAGCCGUCCCAGGGUGACAGUUGGAGCCAGGUAGAGGUCAACCAAGGGUUACACAAGGGUCAACAUUUAAAAAUACUAAACCACAUUAUUUGACUGAUCAGAACAAUUUGCAUCAUUUUUAACAAAUUUGGAGCAACUUUAACUUUUGACUCGUGUGUGUACUGAAGUUGACCUUUGUCACCUUUUCUGCUGAUUUUAACCCAUAACUCCAGAACAUUCUGUCAUAAAUAGUCUGAACCAUAUGCUUAUAGAAUCUUUAUGAUCAGAUCAUUUAUUCUCCUUAAACAGGCCAGAAAACCUCCUCGGCCCGUGAACUGUUUCAUCAACAUAAAGACCAAAUUUGGUGCUUUCAGUCAAAUUGGUUUCUUCAUGAAAAUACUGUGAACACCUUUAUUGUUGGAGAAAUGCUGCCGUCGUGAGUCGAUAAAGGUAUUUACAAUUAUAAAGGCAGAAGUACAAACAGAAAGUGUAAAUAAAACUUGUUCAACUUUCCAAACACUUCUGUAAUUUUUGUAGUUUACAUAGUUUCCUUCAUGGUGAAAAAAUGUUUUUUAUUUAUGCAUUUUAUUUAUGUUAUUUCAUUUAAAUAUUUAUCAUUGUUAUUUAUGUUAUUUUAUUUUUUUGUGUAUGGGUGUGUUUGAUCAACAAUUGGGCAGCGCAGUCUCGUUUAAGGGCAGGUGCUAAACGGCUAAAAUAUGAUGCAUAUGACAUAACUUCUCUACUUCUGGGACAGAAACGCAGUACUUUCUCUGAAAUUUUUGGCAAAUUACACACAAAGUGAAAAUUCAAAGAAAAAGUGACGAUGCGGUGGACGUUGCGGUUUGUUUAUGACCUGGUGCUCAAACAUUUGGAGGUGGUUGUGCAGGCAAAAGAAUGCAGCAACUCUGGUUAGCUGUGUGAGCUAACACUGACCGACACAGUCUCCCAUUUGCCUCGUCUUCCCUUCUCCACUGGGAAGCGACUGCUUCUGUGAUUGCAGCCAAAAACAAAACAGUACACCAUUUUCCUGUGUGAAGUUAUGCUGUGUAUAUUUAUAUUGCACAACGGGUGUGGCUGUCCCCAUAAGUGAUCAAAUCCUGCGAUAUCAUGCAGGGUUCAAACGAGAUUGCGCUGCCCAAUUAAACCUUUAGGUCUGUUAUACGGCUGUUGUCAAUCUAUAAUCUAAAUCAUAUUCUCACCUAAAAAGUAAGUCCCUGGCUUGCACAUGGGGUUGCCACAGAAAACCUGAGACCAAGGGCACCAAAAUGGCGAGAGCUAGCUCUGAGCCCAAUUGAACUUUAACCUCUAUAGCAAUUUCUUUCAAUUACCAUGUUGUUCAUAGGUCAUUUUUGCGGUGUCGGUAUUUUCUUUGUGUGUCCACUAUGAAUUAUCAUGUGUCUGUUCAGGUUGCUCUUUAGCCCAAAUCUUCGACCACACUCAGAACAGGCAAAUGCUUCUUCUCCUGUAUGAAUUAUCAUGUGUCUAUUCAGGUAGCUCUUUCGCCCAAAUCUUUGACCACACUCAUAACACACAAAUGCUUUUUGACCUGUAUGAAUUAUUGUAUGUGUUUUCAGAGUGCUCUUUCGCCCAAAUCUUUGAUCACACUCGGAACAGACAAAUGCUUUUUGUCCUGUGUGAAUUAUCAUGUGUGUGUUCAGAGUGCUCUUUUUUUCCAAAUCUUUGACCACAUUCAGAA